GUGUUCGUGGUGUAAUGGUUUGCAUGUGCCCCUGUGAAGGUCAAGGAGACGAGUUCAAUUCUCGCCGAACACC
rnacentral:tRNA from 1 species